rnacentral:rRNA from 1 species
ACGCUGGCGGCGUGCUUCAUACAUGCAAGUCGAACGAGAAUCUAACUCGGUUAGAGGAAAGUGGCGGACGGGUGAGUAAUAUGUAGAGAAUCUGCCCUUGAGAGGGGGACAACAGAGGGAAACUUCUGCUAAUACCCCAUAUGAGCGUAGCUGAAAUGCUAUUCUUGAAAACUCCGGUGCUCAAGGAUGAGUCUGCAUCUGAUUAGCUAGUUGGCGGUGUAAUGGACCACCAAGGCGACGAUCAGUAGCUGGUUUGAGAGGAUGAUCAGCCACAAUGGGACUGAGACACGGUCCAGACUCCUACGGGAGGCAGCAGUCGGGAAUAUUGCGCAAUGGAGGAAACUCUGACGCAGUGACGCCGCGUAUAGGAAGAAGGUUUUCGGAUUGUAAACUAUUGUCAUUAGGGAAGAAGAAAGUGACGGUACCUAUCGAGGAAGUCACGGCUAACUACGUG